AUAUAUAUAUAGCUUGAAGCAGAAGUUUAAUACUCAGUUAAAUAGGUUGUUCAUCAUUCAAAAGAUGGAGUAUUCAUAUCCUUACUUCCUUGUUCAGUUAUCAGUUUAUCGGCUAGCAGUUCAAUUUUAGUUUCAGUAUUACAGUUCUUUUGUACAACUAUUUUGCAUACUAAUGCAAUUCAAAUGUACUAACAUCCAUUUUUCUUGGGGCCUGCAUCUCGUGAUGCGGUUAAUGAUUUUUUGGUUGAUGAUUCUGCUUGCUAGGAUAUCUCGUAUCAGCUAUUAGUGAGCCCAGUCUUUCGGGGCCUUAUUUCUCCUUUAUUUUAGUCAUUAUAGUAUUUCAGUUAAUAAGGUACACCAAGGACGUUGUCCCGGUAGACAGUUGGCAUUUUUAGUAUUCAAUAGUGGCUUCGUGGACUAUAACCCAGUCAGUCAGAUAAUUUUUAAUGUGUUAGCCUUGUUGACUACUUGUUUUUACUUGAUGGCCCUUUCAGUAUUUUUCGGAUCUAUAAUAUUUCAAUCAGUCUGUUUAGUAGAUUAUCAUGCCAUAUAUUUACCUCUAGCUUACAGUUUUAUCACAUGUUGAUCCAGCUAUAUAGUUGGUUCGCUUGGUCACACGCAGUCAGGCACCGAGUGCCGUGUUACGCCCUAGCCAUUGUUCGGGGGCAUGACUGAUAAAUGAUGAAAAUGACAUAUUUUUUAGUAUAUUUGUAUAUUAAUCGUGAGUGUUUCGCGGAAGAUUACAUGAUUUUGAAAGUAAAAUUAUACUAAUUAUGUGUUUCUUAUGUGUAGGAACGAUUUUGGAUGAUAACUGAUCAAAAGAUGACAAUUCGACACAAAAAGAAGAAAUUAAAGGAGUGCAAGCUCAUCUAUUCUUGUGCAUGGCACGAAGUAGAACGUGGAAAAGGUGAAAAUUUAAGGGACAAAACAGCAAAGCGAAGCAAAGGCACUGAGCGCUUCCCGAAAUGGAAGAAUCUCAAAAGUUUGAUCCGUGUCUAGAUGCGAAGGAUAACGCGGAUCCGCGUCAAAGUCCGCGUCUAGACACGAAGGCAGACGCGCAUUCCAGCUCUUCCAUCCGACGUUGGAGUGAAAAAUUCUGCCCCUCAUCAACCCUAGGUCAUAUAAAUACAUCCUAAAACACCACUUUGAAGGGGGACGCCACUUUAGAGAUAUCUAAUAUACCUUGAAGGGAGUUUCAUGUGGAGGAAUACACACCACACUCGGAGUAGGCUUUUAAAUAGUUUUUCUUCUUUUCUCUUCCUUU
rnacentral:lncRNA from 1 species